rnacentral:rRNA from 1 species
CAGUCGCCACGGGAAUACGUAGGGUGCGAGCGUUAAUCGGAAUUACUGGGCGUAAAGCGUGCGCAGGCGGUUCGUUAAGACAGAUGUGAAAUCCCCGGGCUUAACCUGGGAACUGCAUUUGUGACUGGCGAGCUAGAGUAUGGCAGAGGGGGGUAGAAUUCCACGUGUAGCAGCGAAAUGCGUAGAGAUGUGGAGGAAUACCGAUGGCGAAGGCAGCCCCCUGGGCCAAUACUGACGCUCAUGCACGAAAGCGUGGGGAGCAAACAGGAUUAGAUACCCGUGUAGUCCCUGUCUCUUAUAC